rnacentral:rRNA from 1 species
UUCCGGUUGAUCCCGCCGGAGGCUACCGCUAUUGGAGUUCGAUUAAGCCAUGCGAGUCGAGAGUCUUAGGGACUCGGCGUACCGCUCAGUAACACGUGGGUAACCUGCCCUAUGCUGGGGAAUAACCUCGGGAAACUGAGAAUAAUGCCCCAUAGUCCACUACGCCUGGAACGGUGAGUGGAUCAAAGCUCCGGCGGCAUAGGAUGGGCCUGCGCCGUAUCAGGUUGUAGGGGGUGUAAAGUACCCUCUAGCCAUCAACGCGUACGGGUGUUGGGAGACAUUGCCCGGAGAUGGAUUCUGAGACACGAAUCCAGACCCUACGGGGUGCAGCAGGCGCGAAAACUUGGCAAUGCGAGCAAUCGUGACCAGGGAACUCCAAGUGCUUGGGGUAAGACCCAAGCUUUUCUUGACUCUUCAAAGGUCUUGGAAUAAGGGGUGGGUAAGGACGGUGCCAGCCGCCGCGGUAAUACCGGCGCCUCAAGUGGUAGUCGCUUUUAUUGGGCCUAAAACGUCCGUAGCCGGUCUGGUGCAUUCGUGGGUAAAUCAACCCGCUCAACGGGUUGAAUUCUGCGAGCACGGCCAGACUAGGGACCGGGAGAGGUGUGGGGUACUCUCGGGGUAGGGGUAAAAUCCUGUCAUCCCGAGAGGACCACCUGUUGCGAAGGCGCCACACUAGAACGGAUCCGACGGUCAGGGACGAAACCUAGGGGCACGAACCGGAUUAGAUACCCGGGUAGUCCUAGGUGUAAACGCUGUGGACUUGAUGUUGGGGGUGCUCCGAGCACUCUCAGUGUCGAAGCGAAGGUGAUAAGUCCACUGCCUGGGGAGUACGGUCGCAAGGCUGAAACUUAAAGGAAUUGGCGGGGGAGCACUGCAACCUGAGGAUUGUGCGGUUUAAUUGGAUUCAACGCCGGG